GACGAACGCUGGCGGCGUGCUUAACACAUGCAAGUCGAACGGAAAGGCCCUGCUUUUGUGGGGUGCUCGAGUGGCGAACGGGUGAGUAACACGUGAGUAACUUGCCCUUGACUUUGGGAUAACUUCAGGAAACUGGGGCUAAUACCGGAUAGGAGCCCCUGCUGCAUGGUGGGGGUUGGAAAGUUUCGGCGGUUGGGGAUGGACUCGCGGCUUAUCAGCUUGUUGGUGGGGUAGUGGCUUACCAAGGCUUUGACGGGUAGCCGGCCUGAGAGGGUGACCGGCCACAUUGGGACUGAGAUACGGCCCAGACUCCUACGGGAGGCAGCAGUGGGGAAUAUUGCACAAUGGGCGGAAGCCUGAUGCAGCAACGCCGCGUGCGGGAUGACGGCCUUCGGGUUGUAAACCGCUUUCGCCUGUGACGAAGCGUGAGUGACGGUAAUGGGUAAAGAAGCACCGGCUAACUACGUG
rnacentral:rRNA from 1 species